rnacentral:rRNA from 1 species
GACGAACGCUGGCGGCGUGCCUAAUACAUGCAAGUUGAGCGAUGAAGCUUGGUGCUUGCACCAAUUUGAAGAGCAGCGAACGGGUGAGUAACGCGUGGGGAAUCUGCCUUUGAGCGGGGGACAACAUUUGGAAACGAAUGCUAAUACCGCAUAACAACUUUAAACAUAAGUUUUAAGUUUGAAAGAUGCAAUUGCAUCACUCAAAGAUGAUCCCGCGUUGUAUUAGCUAGUUGGUGAGGUAAAGGCUCAACAAGGCGAAGAUAGAUAGCCGACCUGAGAGGGGGGACCGCCACAAUGGGACUGGGACAAGGCCCAAAACCCUAAGGGAAGGAGCAGUAGGGAAUCUUCGGCAAUGGACGAAAAUCUGAACGAGCAACGCCGCGUGGAUGGAGAAGGUUUUCGGAUCGUAAAACUCUGUUGGUAGAGAAGGACGUUGGUGAGAGUGGAAAGCUCAUCAAGUGACGGUAACUAACCAGAAAGGGACGGCUAACUACGUG